rnacentral:rRNA from 1 species
CAGGUUUACCUGUGUGACUGCGUACCUUUUGUAUAAUGGGUCAGCGACUUAUAUUCUGUAGCAAGGUUAACCGAAUAGGGGAGCCGGAGGGAAACCGAGUCUUAACCGGGCGUUAAGUUGCAGGGUAUAGACCCGAAACCCGGUGAUCUAGCCAUGGGCAGGUUGAAGGUUGGGUAACACUAACUGGAGGACCGAACCGACUAAUGUUGAAAAAUUAGCGGAUGACCUGUGGCUGGGGGUGAAAGGCCAAUCAAACCGGGAGAUAGCUGGUUCUCCCCGAAAGCUAUUUAGGUAGCGCCUCGUGAAUUCAUCUCCGGGGGUAGAGCACUGUUUCGGCUAGGGGGCCAUCCCGGCUUACCAACCCGAUGCAAACUGCGAAUACCGGAGAAUGUUAUCACGGGAGACACACGGCGGGUGCUAACGUCCGUCGUGAAGAGGGAAACAACCCAGACCGCCAGCUAAGGUCCCAAAGUCAUGGUUAAGUGGGAAACGAUGUGGGAAGGCCCAGACAGCCAGGAUGUUGGCUUAGAAGCAGCCAUCAUUUAAAGAAAGCGUAAUAGCUCACUGGUCGAGUCGGCCUGCGCGGAAGAUGUAACGGGGCUAAACCAUGCACCGAAGCUGCGGCAGCGACGCUGAUGCGUUGUUGGGUAGGGGAGCGUUCUGUAAGCCUGUGAAGGUGGCCUGUGAGGGUUGCUGGAGGUAUCAGAAGUGCGAAUGCUGACAUAAGUAACGAUAAAGCGGGUGAAAAGCCCGCUCGCCGGAAGACCAAGGGUUCCUGUCCAACGUUAAUCGGGGCAGGGUGAGUCGACCCCUAAGG